GUGGGGAAUCUUGCGCAAUGGGCGAAAGCCUGACGCAGCCAUGCCGCGUGAAUGAUGAAGGUCUUAGGAUUGUAAAAUUCUUUCACCGGGGACGAUAAUGACGGUACCCACAGAAGAAGCUCCGGCUAACUUCGUGCCAGCAGCCGCGGUAAUACGAAGGGGGCUAGCGUUGCUCGGAAUUACUGGGCGUAAAGGGCGCGUAGGCGGACAGCUUAGUCAGAGGUGAAAGCCCAGGGCUCAACCUUGGAAUUGCCUUUGAUACUGGCUGUCUUGAGUUUGGGAGAGGUGAGUGGAACUCCGAGUGUAGAGGUGAAAUUCGUAGAUAUUCGGAAGAACACCAGUGGCGAAGGCGACUCACUGGCCCAAUACUGACGCUGAGGCGCGAAAGCGUGGGGAGCAAACAGGAUUAGAAACCCGAGUAGUCC
rnacentral:rRNA from 1 species